GAAGUUGUUAGCUCAGUGGUGACGUGCAUGCUUAGUGUGUAUGAUGUCCUGGGUUCAAUCCCCAGCUUCUCCC